NNNNNNNNNNNNNNNNNNNGGGCCGGCCGUGGGGCAGGGGCAGGCAGCACGUGCCCCCCAGGCUGCUGCGGAGCGCCGUGGAGCGCCUGGGGCCGCCGGAGCCGGGAGCCGCCGACCUGACGCGGGAGCAGGGUAAGGAGCCGCGUGCCCGGGGCCCGGCCGCCCCCAUGGGGCAGCACCCCACGGCCAGCCCCACGGCCGGCCGCAUGGCCCCGCUCUCCCGCAGCCCUGCUCUACCUCUUCGCGCUGCACGACCACGACGGCAGCCGGCACCUGGACGGGCUUGAGCUCCUGCAGCUGCUGAGCGAGGCGCUGACGCAGCGGGACGCGGGGCGCCCUGCCCCGGACGCGGUAGGUGCCGGCACCCCGUGCCCCCCGCGCCCCCCGGCUGCCCUGACCCCCGUGCCCACAGGUGGCCGUGCUCGUGGACCGCGUCCUGGAGACGCAGGACCUGGACGGCGAUGGGCUGCUGGACCCCUCCGAGCUGCUGCUGCUGCCCGGCGGGGGCCGGGGUGCCCCAGCUGUGGGGCAGGGUGUCGCGCGCUGGCUGGAGCCGGGCACGGAGCUGAGCAACCCGGGGCAGGGCCCGGCCGAGGGGCAGGAGGUGCCGGGCGGCGCUGCCCCCCCGGAGCCCGAGGCGGCGCCGGGGCUGGGGGACACUGCCGAGGUCUAGGGGUGGACGGCACCGGCAGGACCGUGCCUGCCCCCCCCCCCCCACCCCCCGGCACCUCCAUGGGGCCCUGGCGUGCAGGGUGCCAGCGUGGUGCACGGUGCCGAUGCACUGCAGUGCGCAGUGCCAGCGCAGUGCACAAUGCUGGCAUGGUGCCAGUGCAAUUCACAGUGCCAGUGCGGUGCACGGUACCAGCAUGGCGCACAGUGCCGAUGCAGUGCACAGUGCAGUGCAAUGCACGCUGCUGGUGCAAUACAUGGUGGUGGCGUGGUGCGUGGUGCCGGAGCGGUUCCCUGCCCCCCUGCCAGCCCCACAGCCGGCCCUGGGGUGCGGCACCACGGCGGCUCCCUGUUCCAGGCCACCCCGUCUGCUGCCGGGGCCAAGGGCUGCAGGGGAGCCACGUCACCCCGGCACUGGAGCCAGCCCCACGGUGCGGCCUGUGGCAGGGUCGCCCUCCGCCGUGCCUGGGGGUGGGCAGCGCCGUGGGGCGGGAGCACCGUGCCGGGACACGUGCAAUCAACCCUGUAACGCUCGGCAGGAUGGAGAAAUACACGGCGCUGCCGCCCUGCGC
rnacentral:lncRNA from 1 species